rnacentral:rRNA from 1 species
AGCUAACGCGUGAAGNUCGCCGCCUGGGGAGUACGGUCGCAAGAUUAAAACUCAAAGGAAUUGACGGGGACCCGCACAAGCGGUGGAUGAUGUGGAUUAAUUCGAUGCAACGCGAAAAACCUUACCUACCCUUGACAUGCCAGGAACCCUGCUGAGAGGUGGGGGUGCUCGAAAGAGAGCCUGGGCACAGGUGCUGCAUGGCUGUCGUCAGCUCGUGUCGUGAGAUGUUGGGUUAAGUCCCGCAACGAGCGCAACCCUUGUCAUUAGUUGCCAUCAUUUAGUUGGGCACUCUAAUGAGACUGCCGGUGACAAACCGGAGGAAGGUGGGGAUGACGUCAAGUCCUCAUGGCCCUUAUGGGUAGGGCUUCACACGUCAUACAAUGGUCGGUACAGAGGGUUGCCAAGCCGCGAGGUGGAGCCAAUCCCAGAAAGCCGAUCGUAGUCCGGAUCGUAGUCUGCAACUCGACUGCGUGAAGUCGGAAUCGCUAGUAAUCGUGGAUCAGCAUGCCACGGUGAUACGUUCCCGGGUCUUGUACACACCGCCCGUCACACCAUGGGAGUGGGUUUCACCAGAAGUAGGUAGCCUAACCGCGAGGGGGCGCUUACCACGGUGGGAUUCAUGACUGGGGUGAAGUCGU